UAUUAAAAAAGAUUUGCUUUUUUAUUUCUAAUCAAGUUCUACAUUUCAUCAUUGAUAUAAAGGAUUAAAUUAACAAAUGUAUUAUGGAAGUAAUGCUAACAUUUGAUCAUGAAAUAUUCACAGAUGCAGUACAUUUCCUCCCACCUGACACUAUACAUAUAACUGAAGACAGGAAACUACCAAGGCUAAAUGUUCAUUUACAACCAAGUCAAAGGUUUUGACUAAAUAAAAAUAAAAACCUUAAAUACUGUCAUCAUCAGCAAUUAUUUUAGUAUCAAUGCUGCAAAAAGCAUCUACUACACGCUUUUUAGCUUCACAUGUUACACAUUAUUUUACCAGAAAAUUUAACAUAUGUCAACAUAUUUCUAAUGUAAUGAUGUCACCCUUAGGUAUAUGCAUUUAUUUCUUGUUUUAAUUAUUUUUUGUUGGGUUUAACGUCACACUGACACAAUUAUAAGUCAUACUGCAACUUUCAAGCUUUUGAUGAUAGCGGAAGAUGGAAGACCCUAGGUGCUCCUCCCCGCAUUAAUUCAGGCAAAGGCGGGCACCUGGGUAUAGAACCACCAACCUUCCAUCAGCCAGCUCGAAUGAGUUCUAUGCCAAAACUGAGAUUUCUAAUCCACAGCAGUUAGAGGCAAGUGAUUCAAAGUCAAGAGACCUUAACCAACUAAUCAAGGUUUAGAUAACCAGUAAUUUAGUUCUUAAGUACUGAAAGCUUAACAAUAAUUCUCCUUUCUUCAGAUUUGUGUACAAAGAUGUGAAAUUGACUGAAUAAACAAAAAUGCUGACAGAAAACUGGCAAAUUGAAAUAAUGUGAUAAAAUUGUGUAAUUUUAUAACACGAACUUUUUAAAUGUCGGCCAAAAGGAGCCUGUUAAUACAUACUAAUGCAGUGAGUAUUUCAUGUCUGUUAUAAACGUUUGAAUCCAAAUAUGCUUUAAUUGACAAAUGAAUUUUUAUGAUGUAUUAUCUGGGUGAGGUCUAUACAAACAAUUUUUUUUCCUUUACAACCAUUUACUAUAGAUCUGAAGUUCAAAAUACUGAUAAGAGGUUUCAUUUUGUGUAUGUUUCUAUGACACUUAGAAAAAAUAUGCAUUUUAGGAUGUACUGGCAUAACUGAUAAAAGCUGAUGGAUGGCUGGAGUAAAAACAACAAAAUGUAAGCAUUUAAGAAUUCCAAAUGAAGAAAAUGAGUUCAGGAGUGUCAUUGUUUCCUUAGCUAAGACCACACUUUCAACAGAACCCAAUUUAAUAUCUAUGAGAUGUGAUUAAAUCCGUAAGAUCAGAGCAAUAACUUAAUCAAAGAUCAUCUAUACCAGGGGCUAACAAUGGCAAGAAUUCUACAUUGCAAACUAUUUUCUGUAAAGGGUAAUCAGUAAACUAAUUGUAAUAUUGGAUACUUUAAAUUUCGAAGAAACUUAACAUCUUUUUAUAAGCAAGAUUAAAUUUGUAUACAAUCCAUAUGAGCAAUAAAAAUUAACAUAGACAUAUUCUUAAGUAACUUUUCCUUCAAUAUCACAAAAACAACAAGUUCUUCUUGCUUAUAUGUAUACAUUUUAUUUUCAAGGAAUUUAAGACCUAGACAUUUCUUUAUUCAUGAACUGGUUCUCAGUAAACCUUUAAUUUUUUUUAAGCACUGCAUUCCAAGAGUCAAGGUUGAAAAGCUGGCUUUGGAGACCAGUCUGAACACUCAUGCGUCCGACUGGUUGAUUCUGAGCAGAGAUUUGAAAUCGACCAAUGACAUGGCUGCAUUUGGAGACUGGGCCCAGUUAUUCAAAACUUCAACUGCUGUUAAAAUUUUGAUUUAAAAUAUGUCUUGCUGGGAAACACUUGUCCGAUGUUUUGGUUUUAGAUUUUUAGUGCUCUUUUUAAUGU
rnacentral:lncRNA from 1 species